rnacentral:rRNA from 1 species
GAGUUUGAUCCUGGUUCAGGACGAACGCUGGCGGCGUGCCUAACACAUGCAAGUCGAGCGAUGAAACCCCUUCGGGGGUGGAUUAGCGGCGGACGGGUGAGUAACACGUGGGUAACCUGCCUCAAAGUGGGGGAUAGCCUUCCGAAAGGAAGAUUAAUACCGCAUAAAGCCAAGUUUCACAUGGAAUUUGGAUGAAAGGAGUAAUUCGCUUUGAGAUGGACCCGCGGCGCAUUAGUUAGUUGGUGGGGUAAUGGCCUACCAAGACAGCGAUGCGUAGCCGACCUGAGAGGGUGAUCGGCCACAUUGGAACUGAGAUACGGUCCAGACUCCUACGGGAGGCAGCAGUGGGGAAUAUUGCACAAUGGGCGAAAGCCUGAUGCAACAACGCCGCGUGAGUGAUGAAGGUCUUCGGAUUGUAAAGCUCUGUCUUUUGGG